UAGGGAAUCUUCGGCAAUGGACGGAAGUCUGACCGAGCAACGCCGCGUGAGCGAAGAAGGUUUUCGGAUCGUAAAGCUCUGUUGUAAGAGAAGAACGAGUGUGAGAGUGGAAAGUUCACACUGUGACGGUAUCUUACCAGAAAGGGACGGCUAACUACGUGCCAGCAGCCGCGGUAAUACGUAGGUCCCGAGCGUUGUCCGGAUUUAUUGGGCGUAAAGCGAGCGCAGGCGGCUAGAUAAGUCUGAAGUUAAAGGCUGUGGCUUAACCAUAGUACGCUUUGGAAACUGUUUAACUUGAGUGCAAGAGGGGAGAGUGGAAUUCCAUGUGUAGCGGUGAAAUGCGUAGAUAUAUGGAGGAACACCGGUGGCGAAAGCGGCUCUCUGGCUUGUAACUGACGCUGAGGCUCGAAAGCGUGGGGAGCAAACAGGAUUAGAUACCCUGGUAGUCCACGCCGUAAACGAUGAGUGCUAGGUGUUAGACCCUUUCCGGGGUUUAGUGCCGCAGCUAACGCAUUAAGCACUCCGCCUGGGGAGUACGACCGCAAGGUUG
rnacentral:rRNA from 1 species